UGGGAAUUUGGACAAUGGGCGCAAGCCUGAUCCAGCCAUGCCGCGUGCGGGAAGAAGGCCUUCGGGUUGUAAACCGCUUUGUCAGGGAAGAAAUCUUCUGAGUUAAUACCUCGGGAGGAUGACGGUACCUGAAGAAUAAGCACCGGCUAACUACGUGCCAGCAGCCGCGGUAAUACGUAGGGUGCAAGCGUUAAUCGGAAUUACUGGGCGUAAAGCGUGCGCAGGCGGUUUUGUAAGACAGAGGUGAAAUCCCCGGGCUCAACCUGGGAACUGCCUUUGUGACUGCAAGGCUUGAGUGCGGCAGAGGGGGAUGGAAUUCCGCGUGUAGCAGUGAAAUGUGUAGAUAUGCGGAGGAACACCGAUGGCGAAGGCAAUCCCCUGGGCCUGCACUGACGCUCAUGCA
rnacentral:rRNA from 1 species